rnacentral:rRNA from 1 species
GAUGAACGCUAGCGGCAGGCUUAACACAUGCAAGUCGAGGGGUAUAGGUUUUCGGACCUAGAGGCCGGCGCACGGGUGCGUAACGCGUAUGCAAUCUACCUUUCACAGAGGGAUAGCCCAGAGAAAUUUGGAUUAUUACCUCAUAGUAUAGCAGUUUCGCAUGAAACCACUAUUAAAGUAUCAACGGUGAAAGAUGAGCAUGCGUCCCAUUAGCUAGAUGGUAAGGUAACGGCUUACCAUGGCUACGAUGGGUAGGGGUCCUGAGAGGGAGAUCCCCCACACUGGUACUGAGACACGGACCAGACUCCUACGGGAGGCAGCAGUGAGGAAUAUUGGUCAAUGGACGCAAAUCUGAACCAGCCAUGCCGCGUGCAGGAUGACGGUCCUAUGGAUUGUAAACUGCUUUUGUACGAGAAGAAACAACAUUACGUGUAAUGUCUUGACGGUAUCGUAAGAAUAAGGAUCGGCUAACUCCGUGCCAGCAGCCGCAGUAAAAC